UCUAGAACUCGAGAUAUGGCCUAAACACUGAACAAUGUUUGGGCUGCAGGACAGAUUUGAAAUUCUCCGUUGUUGCUACAAUUUGGACUUAAAAACGGCCUUUUUAAAUCUUGCACUUCCCAUGAAAGUUUUAGGCCUAUGUCUUAGCUUUCCAUC
rfam:Populus trichocarpa scaffold_1_contig_532, whole genome shotgun sequence.